rnacentral:rRNA from 1 species
CCUACGGGUGGCAGCAGUGGGGAAUAUUGGACAAUGGGGGAAACCCUGAUCCAGCGACGCCGCGUGAGUGAAGAAGUAUUUCGGUACGUAAAGCUCUAUCAGCAGGAAAGAAAAUGACGGUACCUGACUAAGAAGCCCCGGCUAACUACGUGCCAGCAGCCGCGGUAAUACGUAGGGGGCAAGCGUUAUCCGGAUUCACUGGGUGUAAAGGGAGCGUAGACGGCGAGACAAGUCUGGAGUGAAAGGCCGGGGCCCAACCCCGGGACUGCUCUGGAAACUGCCUGGCUGGAGUACAGGAGAGGUAAGUGGAAUUCCUAGUGUAGCGGUGAAAUGCGUAGAUAUUAGGAGGAACACCAGUGGCGAAGGCGGCUUACUGGACUGUAACUGACGUUGAGGCUCGAAAGCGUGGGGAGCAAACAGGAUUAGAUACCCUUGUAGUC